AUCUAUAGCCACACCACCCUGAAUGCUCCAGAUUCUGUCUGAUCUCGGAGGCUAAGUAGGGUCAGGCCUGGUUAGUACUUGGAAGAGAACACAUUUUAAAAGAAGCAACCAAAUGCUAAGGGAA
rnacentral:rRNA from 1 species